rnacentral:rRNA from 1 species
UACGGAGGGGGCUAGCGUUGUUCGGAAUUACUGGGCGUAAAGCGCACGUAGGCGGCUUUGUAAGUUAGAGGUGAAAGCCCAGGGCUUAACCCUGGAAUUGCCUUUAAGACUGCAUCGCUAGAAUCGUGGAGAGGUGAGUGGAAUUCCGAGUGUAGAGGUGAAAUUCGUAGAUAUUCGGAAGAACACCAGUGGCGAAGGCGGCCAACUGGUCCGGGAAACUGACG